rnacentral:rRNA from 1 species
UACGGAGGGUGCGAGCGUUAAUCGGAAUUACUGGGCGUAAAGCGUGCGUAGACGGUAGCGUAAGUCAGAUGUGAAAGCCCCGGGCUCAACUUGGGAACUGCAUUUGAGACUGCUCUGCUCGGGUGCGGAAGAGGGAAGCGGAAUUUCCGGUGUAGCGGUGAAAUGCGUAGAUAUCGGAAGGAACACCAGUGGCGAAAGCGGCUUCCUGGUCCGACACCGACGUUCAGGCACGAAAGCGUGGGGAGCAAACAGG